rnacentral:rRNA from 1 species
CCCGGCGCAGGCCUCGUCCGACCCGACCCCCGCCAUCGCCCGGCCAGGGCCACCCCCGCGCUGGUCCCCGCAGACGAGCGGGGCUCCCUCUUCGCCAAGGACCCCGCGCCAUCCGAGUUUGCGUCCUCCUCGUCGCCGUCCGCAGCGGCCAAAGGAUCUCCACGGCGUCCUCGUCAUCGUCCGCGGCGGCCAGGGGAUCUCCGCGGCGUCCUCGUCGUCGUCCAUGGACCCCACCCCCACCGAGCAUGAGAUCUCCCGAGCAGGCCCUCCCACUGGCUGUUGCCGGGCCAUCUCCGCCGCGCCACCGUCCCUCCACCGGCAGGCAUAUCUCUCUCUCUCUCUCUCUCUCUCUGACUGGCCGUGUUGUCUGCACCAGGUUCAACUCCUCCUGUGGCAAAGUGCUCGGCGAGGAGAAGGACACGGGAACUUGACCUGGACGCAAGGUGCUCAGCUCCUCCAGCGACCACCGGGCCGAUUUGUUCUCUGUUCCCCUCCCCACCUCCCUCCACCCAUCUUCUGUACAUUCACAUGUUCGUCAGUUUAUAUCUGUAUAUUACAGUAGUCAGCAAUAUUAUUUGAAUGUAAUUUUGAUGGAUUAGUUAGGUGAUAUUUUGAUGCAAUUUUGAUGGAUAUUUUUUCAGAUGAGAUGGAACCAAAGAUCAAUCUGCUUUGAUUUCUUAAAUUCUCUACAACUUGCUUUUGUAGUUUUACUCCAGAACAAAGCAUGCAAAAGUAAUAGCAAAUAUAAACCUCAAAUCUCUUCCCCACCACAUUGUGUGUGCAUACUCCAUCUAAUCUAAUAUAUAAAUCUGAAAUCUUGAAGCUUCAUUCCUUUGGUCACCCAAGAUAUGUUAAUGAAAUGCUGUUGUCACUCCAUUUGUUUGUGAAUUUGCCUACCUGUUCUCAUGUGACUCAGUGAGCAUGCAUUCAAGUUUUUUUGUUGGUCUAUUUAGCAUGAACCGGUGCUAUGUGUUUUUAGCUACUUUAGCAUUCAAAUGAACAUAACCAUGAACUCUGAUCCAGGGCAUGCACUCUACCCAGAGCAUGUGCAGUCCGCCAUAUCUAGAAAUUCCUGGAUACCAGAUACAACUAUGCCCUUAAUUAGUAAAUUUCCUUCAACAACCCAUGCUUAUGAUCUGCGAACACUCUAUUUGUGUACUGAUGUACAUUGGAUGCCCGGCUUUUAAUUUUGAGUGUGUGUAAUGUGAUGUCUGGCAUUCACUUGAAGUGGCACUCCUAUAUUUGCUUAUAAUAUAAAUACUUGUUUAUGCACACAAUGCAAAUAUUUUGUUUAUGCAUACCUGAACUCCUAGCUAGCACUUGACAACUUAUUCUCUGGUUUCCUAUUAAUUAAAUGGUACA